AAUCUGUCAUGGAUAACCUAGUGGGAGGCCCACCGCCAAGCUAGCGACCUUGCUUCGACCUUCGGUCAGCGGGUACGCGUGCCCGGUACGAACCCUGGGGUCGCCGCCACACUCGUGCGAGUAAUCCACGACGCUGUGAGGCGCUAAGCAAUGGAAGUGAACCUUGAGGGAAGCAAUUCUGCAGAGACACUUCCACCCUGGGGUGGCGUCGCCGGAAUACAUCGUCCCGUUACAGGGAAGCUGGCUGCUUGGUGAGACGACUGCACCUUUUUU
rnacentral:SRP_RNA from 1 species